CUUAAGACCUGCAAAGACUGACUGGGAACAGCAAACAUUUGAUUCCCUCUGCAGCCCUUUCACAGGUUCUUCCGUCCCACCACAUUAAAGUUCCAUUGACCAGUCCCAAGGACACUUUUCCUGCCAGGAGUGGAAAGUAGAGGGAACAGAAAAAAAGAUCAAUACUAGCCCAAGGUAGGGAAAGCACAACGUAAGUACAUUUAUAAGGAGCUGUGAUAGGGACUUUUGGUGUACUUGGUAAUUAUUUAACAUACUUAUGGUAUCUUUUAGCAGUAUUUUGGAAGUGCAGCAAGUGAACAGCAGGGCCUGUGCUCUGUGUGGGUUGGGGAGGACACAACCUACCAAAUUCACUGGCACAAAAGGCCUCCACUUCAUCCCGCUCUCCCCUGCACUGGGCUAGACACUCCUUGUCCUUGUCACCAUCUGGAACGGGAACACACACUGAGGGACAGAAAUGGGCCUUUGGGGAUAUUUUUCAUCCCAGUUACGCCGCCCAGCCUUUGGAAUUUCUGGGUACCCCUUUCCAGAGCAGCCUGUCCUUACCUUUCCUCAGCACUCCCAGGGGGUUGGGUGGGCCGAGGGACCAGCGGUUGGUGACCCAGGAGGGUUUGGGGAUCCUCGUGACGGGAUCGGGGUGUUUGUAGGGGAUUGUCUGGCCCGGGCGGUUCAAGUGCAGCGUGUUGGGAUCCCCUGACUCCCCUGAGUCUGGGGGAGGACGAGCUCCCCGGGGGGGUGUCCCCUGUUGCUGGGAGGCUGUGCCGUGGUGGGAGCGGGCGGACACGCUGUUGGCAGCGCCGGCCCGGCGCCGGUCCGUGUGCUUCCUGUUGGCCUGGCUGGAGUCGGGGGAGCUGGGAAAAGGCCCCUCAGCCGGGCUCUCCAGAGGCUGCCAGAGGUGUUUCCUCAGCCCUGUGCUGUUCUCCAGGGAAGGUUUGGUGCGUUUCUUCUUGUCCCAGGGCAGGGAGGUGAUUUCAGGAGGCUUUGGCGGCUGCAGGUGGGUGGGAGGCAGGAUCCAGUGUUCCCUGGAAUUCCCACUGGCACUGCUGGUGCCACGGGCUGGCAGCUUCACCUGCCCAGGUGCAGCAGCUGCUGAACUAAAAGCAUCUUUGCUGAGAGCCUGGGCAGCUUUCUCAGCAUAGGGCAAGGAUCCUAGAUCAAAAGGAGAGAGAAAAUCAGCACUUUCAGUUUUUUAUAUGUUAUUACAUAGUUAUUUUAUAUGUUCUUCUCAAUGGGAGGAUUUGAGGUUCUAGCCCAUAAGUCCCUCAGCAAUAUAUAACUGAUAUACUAAUAACUGAUAACUAUAUAACUGAUAAAUGGCUGAACAGAUGAAAUACAGUAGAGCAGCUCAUUCCUCUGUGCUCAGACGUGGCAGGCCCAGCACAGGGAAUGCAGCUGUGUGAGCAGAACGGGAGGUUCGCAUUUUUACUUUAUUAUUGUUGCAAAUUAAAAACAAACCCUUUUCUCAAACCCCUGAGUCUCCAGGGAGCAUCUGAGGAAACAAGGUUCACGUUGCCAUUUGGGAUGCUUGUUUAAAAGACCAUGACAGCAGAACUAUUUGGUUUUCCCAUCCAUGGGAUGCCUUAUUGACAGUGUCAUCCGGACUUUUCAGCAGCUUUGGGCUGUGGACAUUACUGGAAAGAUCUUUAUCCACAGUUUUGGAUUUCUAACUGGUAAUUAGGUUAUUGCUGCCGAGAAACAGUUAUUUCAAGGCUUUUCUUAAUUUGAGAGGACAGGGGUUGAGAAGAGAGGAAGUGUCUGGGAAUACAGUGAGAAAUGACUUACUGACACUGUUCACACAAGCUGGGCAGUCACCUACGCUUUUGUUUAUACCUUAACCUCAAUCAGUUGGACCUCAAAAAGCAAAAUGGCCUUCUGUUUAGCCUGGGAAGAGAGAAAUCUCCCCUUGCAGUCCAUUUUCCUGUUCCUUUAGCCCCUCAGUGCAUGUCCUGAGUGAGCCAGCAGAGUUUUCACACAGCUCACCCCCACACAGCCACCGUCGGGGUGUUCGUGGCUGUGGUUACUCUGUGUAGGAGGCAGAUCCCAAUCCCUGUGUGAAAAGAGAGGUUUGACAUCCACAGAUGAACAACGUCCUGGUUUAUCUCCUCUGACUGACUCAACUGCUGACCUUGCCACUUCUCCCCCUUUGCUCUCACCAGCUGCUGUCAUGGGAAAGAUUCCCUGAUAUUCGGGCUGGCCACACGUAAAGUCAAAAGAAUGUCCAUGGAGAGCGGGGUGGAAGGAGUCCAAGCUGAAGGGAGCAGCAGGGAAGGGUGUUUUGGAGAUGGUUCAAUAUGAGCUGUGCACUCUGAACAGGUGUUUCACACUUGGGUGUGUAAGAACACUCUCCUGCCAGUUCAUCACGCUCUCUCAGUCACGGAAUGCAACAAGAAAUAGUUCAUUUUUCUCUACUCAAUCCAUUCAGGACCUUGAGGUUCCUGCUCCUGUACCAGCAUAUUCCUGUCUGGCUGUUGCAGCAUAAGACAUAUGACUGCAACAUAACCAAUUCCCAAUGGAACAGAUGUAAAUCUUAUUUAUUUUCUGUCAGUGAUGUACUAAACUCCAAAUAAAUCAGUUCAGGACAGCUUGCUGCAGGCACUCAUGGCAGCACAGAGCUGCAGUCAGUCAGAAACAUGGUAUUUACAGGUGAAGGGGACUAAAAGAGAUAUAAGUUAUAAAAAUCCCAUAUGCAGAAGUCAAACCUCACCUGCCACUGAGAGCUCAUGGCACCAGCUCCCUGCCUGCUCUUGCCAGGUGCUCUCAGUUCCUCCAAAUCUGACAAAUCAAAUAUUACAAUUUGCAUUCCCAUCCCACAAACAGGUUGAAAUGUUUCUUUCCUGAGCCCUUACAUAUGACUUGCUGAAAAGGCUACAGCCUGGAGGGCAAGGACUUGCAGGAAUGUCUUCAGCCUCCCCUGAUUCCAAAGGCAAAGCUGCCCCAGCCCCACUCCGAAUGCAACAGACUUACCAGAGGAUGAUCUAAUGGCAAAGCAGAGGAGCCAGAACACUUGGGUUGUCAUUUUGAAGUAUUUUUCCAGACUCAAAAUGAACUGGAGUCUUUUAUGCCCUUCCCCCGUUUCAUGCUAAUGAGAGGCAGCCUUAGGGGAAACGGGAAUCACUCACUGGACAACCCACUGGAGCAAGACCAAGCUGCUGCCGUCCCUCCACCACCCCUGCCCAGGAGGGAUGUGCUCCAGCACCUCUUCCCAUCGGGAAUAACUCUGUGCUGCUGCUGUCCCCUGUGUGCCGGGAAUGAUAUGUUUUUAGCAACAGAUUUUUUUAUUUGGGGGACAGUCUUGCCUCUUAUGGCACUUUGUAGAGAAAAACCAUACAGAACAGGUCAGGGUUUAUUGGAUAUGGAGAAUUCAUAUUGGAAUUGGAAGGUGCUGGAACAGCCUCACUGCAUCUGUGAAGGAUGUGCAUUGCAGUGGAACAUAUUUGGGGAUUUCUGGCCACCUCCACUUACACAGCUGGUAAUCUCCUCUUUCAGUUUAAGGAACCAGUUCCAGUGAUUCUCUUCAGACUGAAAAACGCAGUAGUGACUGUCCAGCCCAAGGCAAAGCUCUGCUGAUCCGACACAGCUUUAUUUUGAAAUCUCCCUUUGCUAACAAGAAGAACUCUGCAAGUUUUCACACAGCAAGCCAGCCCUGAUUUGGAUUACUGAAUUAAGGGGGCUUAUUUCUGUGUGACCUUAUUGCCACACAACAUUUCCAUUGUGACAGUGUCUCUCACCGGCUGCUCCCGGGUGUUGUGGAAGUCUGUGAACUCGCUCAAGGUGCAACAAACAACUUAUAAACCCCAUAAAGGCUCCUGGAACCCACCCCCAACAGAAAAUCUCCCCUUUGGCAGUGCCCGGGGCAUGGAUGGUUGUCCAGUUUAAGCAGUCUGUUUUGUCCUGCCUUAAUUAAGCAGUUCAAUAAGAUUCUUAAAAGCUCAGGGCUUUACCUCGAGCAGCAAUGGCUGAAGAUACAGAAAAUUAACUAAAAUAAUGUGCAAAAUAAAUGACAUUUUAACACAGCGA